rnacentral:rRNA from 1 species
CCUACGGGUGGCAGCAGUGAGGAAUAUUGGUCAAUGGACGAGAGUCUGAACCAGCCAAGUAGCGUGAAGGAUGACUGCCCUAUGGGUUGUAAACUUCUUUUAUAUGGGAAUAAAAUGUUCCACGUGUGGGAUUUUGUAUGUACCAUAUGAAUAAGGAUCGGCUAACUCCGUGCCAGCAGCCGCGGUAAUACGGAGGAUCCGAGCGUUAUCCGGAUUUAUUGGGUUUAAAGGGAGCGUAGGUGGAUUGUUAAGUCAGUUGUGAAAGUUUGCGGCUCAACCGGAAAAUUGCAGUUGAAACUGGCAGUCUUGAGUACAGUAGAGGUGGGCGGAAUUCGUGGUGUAGCGGUGAAAUGCUUAGAUAUCACGAAGAACUCCGAUUGCGAAGGCAGUUCACUGGACUGCAACUGACACUGAGGCUCGAAAGUGUGGGUAUCAAACAGGAUUAGAUACCCGUGUAGUC